rnacentral:rRNA from 1 species
CUGAGGCAUGAAAGCGUGGGGAGCAAACAGGAUUAGAUACCCUGGUAGUCCACGCCCUAAACGAUGCACACUAGUUGUUGCGAUGCUAGUCAUUGCAGUAAUGCACUUAACAGAUUAAGUGUGCCGCCUGGGGAGUACGGUCGCAAGAUUAAAACUCAAAGGAAUAGACGGGGACCCGCACAAGCGGUGGAGCAUGUGGUUUAAUUCGAAGAUACACGAAGAACCUUACCUGGGCUUGAUAUCCUUGGAAUCUUGUAGAGAUACGAGAGUGCUAGUUUACUAGAACCAAGAGACAGGUGCUGCACGGCUGUCGUCAGCUCGUGUCGUGAGAUGUUGGGUUAAGUCCCGCAACGAGCGCAACCCUCGUGAUUAGUUGCUAACAGUUCGGCUGAGCACUCUAAUCAGACUGCCUUCGCAAGGAGGAGGAAGGUGAGGACGACGUCAAGUCAUCAUGGCCCUUAUGCCCAGGGCUACACACGUGCUACAAUGGCGCGUACAAAGAGAGGCGAUACCGCGAGGUGGAGCAAAUCUUAAAAACGCGUCUCAGUUCGGAUUGGAGUCUGCAACUCGACUCCAUGAAGCUGGAAUCGCUAGUAAUCGUAGAUCAGAUAUGCUACGGUGAAUACGUUCCCGGGUCUUGUACUCACCGCCCGUCACACCAUGGGAGUUGAAUUCACCCGAAGCCGGAAUACUAAACUAGUUACCGACCACGGUGGGUUCAGCGACUGGGGUGAAGUCGUAACAAGGUA